UACGGGGGGGGCAAGCGUUGUUCGGAAUUACUGGGCGUAAAGGGCUCGUAGGUGGCCAACUAAGUCAGACAUGAAAUCCCUCAGCUUAACUGGGGAACUGCGUCUGAUACUGGAUGGCUUGAGUUUGGGAGAGGGAUGCGGAAUUCCAGGUGUAGCGGUGAAAUGCGUAGAUAUCUGGAGGAACACCGGUGGCGAAGGCGGCAUCCUGGACCAACACUGACACUGAUGAGCGAAAGCCAGGGGAGCAAACGGG
rnacentral:rRNA from 1 species